UACGUAGGGGGCAAGCGUUGUCCGGAAUCAUUGGGCGUAAAGCGCGUGUAGGCGGCUUGAUAAGUCCGCUCUGAAAGCCCGGGGCUCAACCCCGGGAGGCGGGUGGAUACUGUCAAGCUCGAGUCCGGAAGAGGCGAGUGGAAUUCCUGGUGUAGCGGUGAAAUGCGCAGAUAUCAGGAGGAACACCGGUGGCGAAGGCGGGUCUCUGGGCCGAUACUGACGCUGAGGAGCGAAAGCGUGGGGAGCGAACAGG
rnacentral:rRNA from 1 species